rnacentral:rRNA from 1 species
AUACAAUCUCCGCGGCCACGAUACUAGGUACGAUUUCGUAUAGCGGCGGACGGGUGAGUAAUGUAUGGGGACUGCCCGAUAGAGGGGGAUAACUACUGGAAACGGUAGCUAAUACCGCAUACUAUCGGAUAACCCAUAUGGGAUUAUCUAGUAGGUGAGGUAAUGGCUCACCUAGGCGACGAUCCCUAGCUGGUCUGAGAGGAUGAUCAGCCACACUGGGACUGAGACACGGCCCAGACUCAUACGGAGGUAGAAGUGGGGAAUAUUGCACAAUGGGCGAAAGCCGGAUGCAGCCAUGCCGCGUGUAUGAAGAAGGCCCUAGGGUGGUAAAGUACUUUCAGUCGGGAGGCGUGACCGACAGAAGAAGCACCGGCGAACUCCGUGCCAGCAGCCGCGGUAAUAC